rnacentral:hammerhead_ribozyme from 1 species
AGCCGAAACGCCGGCGUGGGCCGGGCGUCGCGGCGGGUGGUACCCGCCGCCUGAUGAUGGCAGCCACCC